UACGGAGGGGGCAAGCGUUGUUCGGAUUUACUGGGCGUAAAGAGCGCGCAGGCGGUCGUUCAAGUCGCGUGUGAAAGCCCCCGGCUCAACUGGGGAGGGUCACGCGAUACUGAUCGACUCGAAGGCAGGAGAGGGUAGUGGAAUUCCCGGUGUAGUGGUGAAAUGCGUAGAUAUCGGGAGGAACACCAGUGGCGAAGGCGACUACCUGGCCUGUUCUUGACGCUGAGGCGCGAAAGCUAGGGGAGCAAACGGGG
rnacentral:rRNA from 1 species